GCAUGGACACAACAGCAAUCUCAGUCGAGUGGGCAAUGGCUGAGCUUAUUAGGAAUCCAAGAGUGCAGAAAAAGGCACAAGAGGAGCUAGAUCGUGUGAUAGGAUUCGAAAGGGUGAUGUCUGAAACUGAUUUCUCUAAUCUGCCUUACCUUCAAAGCGUAGCCAAGGAAGCACUAAGACUGCACCCCCCAACUCCUCUAAUGUUACCCCAUCGUGCCAAUGCAAAUGUGAAAAUCGGUGGCUACGACAUCCCCAAGGGAUCAAACGUGCAUGUUAACGUAUGGGCAGUAGCCCGAGAUCCAGCUGUGUGGAAGGACCCUGAAGAGUUCCGGCCAGAACGGUUCCUAGAGGAGGACGUGGAUAUGAAGGGUCAUGAUUUCCGAUUGCUUCCAUUUGGUGCAGGGAGGAGGGUGUGCCCUGGUGCACAGCUCGGGAUCAACCUGGUGACAUCCAUGUUGGGUCACUUGUUGCACCACUUUUGUUGGACAACAGCGGAGGGAGUGAAGGCUGAGGAAAUUGACUUGCUUGAAAACCCUGGACUGGUUGCUUAUAUGCGGACUCCAUUGCAAGCUAUUGCCACUCCUAGGCU
rnacentral:lncRNA from 1 species